UACAAUUAAGUAUAGGGAGUACUUAAAUUUUUGAUAUUUAAAGGGAUAGUUUAAUUCUGUCAGUCGUAA
rnacentral:tRNA from 1 species